rnacentral:rRNA from 1 species
GAUGAACGCUGGCGGCGUGCUUAACACAUGCAAGUCGAACGGUGAAGCUCCAGCUUGCUGGCGUGGAUCAGUGGCGAACGGGUGAGUAACACGUGAGCAACCUGCCCCUGACUCUGGGAUAACAGCCGGAAACGGCUGCUAAUACCGGAUAUGCACCAUGAACGCAUGUUCUGUGGUGGGAAAGAUUGUUCGGUUGGGGAUGGGCUCGCGGCCUAUCAGCUUGUUGGUGAGGUAAUGGCUCACCAAGGCGUCGACGGAUAGCCGGCCUGAGAGGGUGACCGGCCACACUGCGACUGCGACACGGCCCAGUCUCCUACGGGAGGCAGCAGUGGGGAAUAUUGCACAAUGGGCGAAAGCCUGAUGCAGCAACGCCGCGUGAGGGAUGACGGCCUUCGGGUUGUAAACCUCUUUUAGCAGGGAAGAAGCGAUAGUGACGGUACCUGCAGAAAAAGCGCCGGCUAACUACGUG